ACACAUGCAGUCGAGCGGGGUUUUCGGACCUAGCGGCGGACGGGUGAGUAAUGCGUAGGAAGCUGCCCGAUAGAGGGGGAUACCAGUUGGAAACGACUGUUAAUACCGCAUAAUGUCUACGGACCAAAGUGUGGGACCUUCGGGCCACAUGCUAUCGGAUGCGCCUACGUGGGAUUAGCUAGUUGGUGAGGUAAUGGCUCACCAAGGCGACGAUCUCUAGCUGGUUUGAGAGGAUGAUCAGCCACACUGGAACUGAGACACGGUCCAGACUCCUACGGGAGGCAGCAGUGGGGGAUAUUGGACAAUGGGCGCAAGCCUGAUCCAGCCAUGCCGCGUGUGUGAAGAAGGCCUUCGGGUUGUAAAGCACUUUCAGCGAGGAGGAAGGGAUAUAUGUUAAUAGCAUGCAUUUUUGACGUUACUCGCAGAAGAAGCACCGGCUAACUCUGUGCCAGCAGCCGCGGUAAUACAGAGGGUGCAAGCGUUAAUCGGAAUUACUGGGCGUAAAGCGCACGUAGGCGGUUGGUUAAGUUGGAUGUGAAAGCCCCGGGCUCAACCUGGGAAUUGCAUUCAAAACUGGCCAACUAGAAUACGGGAGAGGGGGGUAGAAUUCCAAGUGUAGCGGUGAAAUGCGUAGAGAUUUGGAGGAAUACCAGUGGCGAAAGCGGCCCCCUGGCCCGAUAUUGACGCUGAGGUGCGAAAGCGUGGGGAGCAA
rnacentral:rRNA from 1 species